GGCCGGUUGGCGCAAUGGUAGCGCGCACCCCUCCUAUCAUGUGACCCGUAAAUUAUAUAUUACGGUACAUUACGUGCUUAGUCAGCCAGGGUGAGGCUGUGCGUUCGAGUCGCACAUCGGUCG